rnacentral:rRNA from 1 species
GACGAACCGUGCGAACGUUGUUCGGAAUCACUGGGCUUAAAGGGCGCGUAGGCGGGCCCGCAAGUCAGGGGUGAAAUCCCACGGCUCAACCGUGGAAGUGCCUUUGAUACUGCGGGUCUGGAGGGAGGUAGGGGCGUGCGGAACUUCCGGUGGAGCGGUGAAAUGCGUAGAUAUCACUUGGAACGCCAAUGGUGAAAACAGAUAGCUGGGGUUGUGCUGACGCUGAGACACGAAAGCCAGGGGAGCAAACGGG